UACGUAGGUGGCAAGCGUUGUUCGGAAUUACUGGGCGUAAAGGGCGCGUAGGCGGCCCUCUAAGUCGAACGUGAAAUCCCCGGGCUCAACCCGGGAACUGCGUCCGAUACUGGAGGGCUCGAAUCCGGGAGAGGGAUGUGGAAUUCCAGGUGUAGCGGUGAAAUGCGUAGAUAUCUGGAGGAACACCGGUGGCGAAGGCGGCAUCCUGGACCGGUAUUGACGCUGAGGCGCGAAAGCGUGGGGAUCAAACAGG
rnacentral:rRNA from 1 species